AACGAACGCUGGCGGCAUGCCUAACACAUGCAAGUCGAACGAGACCUUCGGGUCUAGUGGCGCACGGGUGCGUAGCGCGUGGGAACCUGCCCGUAGGUUCGGAAUACCUCCCCGAAAGGGGUGCUAAUACCGGAUAAUGUCUUCGGACAAAAGAUUUAUCGCCUUUGGAUGGGGCCGCGUUGGAUUCGCGAGUUGGUAGGGUAAAAGCCUGCCAACGCCACGAUGCAUAGCUGGUCUGAGAGGAAGACCCACCACACUGGGAAUGAGGCACGGCCCAGUCCGCGACGGAGGGGAGGGGAAGGGAAUACUAGGCGAGGGGCGAAAGCCUGGUACCGCAAUGCCGGGGAAGUGGGGAAGGGCGUUGGGUUGUGAAGCCCUUUGAGCCGGGAUGAUAAUGACAGUACCGGGAGAAUAAGCUCCGGCUAACUCCGUG
rnacentral:rRNA from 1 species